rnacentral:rRNA from 1 species
UGAGCUUGCUUUCGNUACGGGCUGACUUGAGGGAGGUAGGGGAGAAUAGAAUUCCUGGUGGAGCGGUGGAAUGCGCAGAUAUCAGGAGGAACACCGGUGGCGAAGGCGGUUCUCUGGNCCUUUCCUGACGCUGAGAAGCGAAAGCGUGGGGAGCGAACAGGCUUAGAUACCCUGGUAGUCCACGCUGUAAACGGUGGGUACUAGGUGUGGGGGACAUUCCACGUUCUCCGUGCCGUAGCUAACGCAUUAAGUACCCCGCCUGGGGAGUACGGCCGCAAGGCUAAAACUCAAAGGAAUUGACGGGGCCCCGCACAAGCGGCGGAGCAUGCGGAUUAAUUCGAUGCAACGCGAAGAACCUUACCUGGGUUUGACAUAUGCCGGAAGCGUUCAGAGAUGGGCGUGCCUUUUUGGUCGGUUUACAGGUGGUGCAUGGCUGUCGUCAGCUCGUGUCGUGAGAUGUUGGGUUAAGUCCCGCAACGAGCGCAACCCUCGUCCAAUGUUGCCAGCGGGUUAUGCCGGGGACUCAUUGGAGACCGCCGGGGUCAACUCGGAGGAAGGUGGGGAUGACGUCAAGUCAUCAUGCCCCUUAUGUCCAGGGCUUCACGCAUGCUACAAUGGCCGGUACAGUGAGCUGCGAGCCUGUGAGGGUGAGCGAAUCUCUAAAAGCCGGUCUCAGUUCGGAUUGGGGUCUGCAACUCGACCCCAUGAAGUCGGAGUCGCUAGUAAUCGCAGAUCAGCAAGGCUGCGGUGAAUACGUUCCCGGGGCUUGUACACACCGCCCGUCAAGUCAUGAAAGUCGGUAACACCCGAAGCCGGUGGCCUAACCCGUUUGGGAGGGAGCUGUCGAAGGUG